rnacentral:tRNA from 1 species
GAGGGUAUAGCUCAAUGGUAGAGUGCAUGCCUAGCAUGCCUGAGAUCCUGGGUUCAAUCCUCAACACCUCCA